rnacentral:lncRNA from 1 species
GUUGUCUCGACGUGCUGGACCCAAAUCCGCCCUCUGUUUUUGAAAUUCGACCAUUUUAAAAUAGUUCCUUAUUAGUUUUACUUUGUACAAAAACGCAUUUAUAUGUUAGUAUGUUACGUAUUUACAUAAUGGUUUCAUUUUUAGGUAAAACGCAUCACAAGGAUCUUCGAUGCCCAUGAGGCGAGUUCCACUCGGUGACAAGAUUUGUGAGUGGGUCUUUUCUUUAUAUAUAUAUAUAUAAUUGUUAGUUUCCAUUUAUACAUUUCAUAAAAAGUUUUCCACAACACGCCUAGAUAAACGUAACAUUAUUAAGAUUUAGCGCAUUGAUAGAAAUUAUGACGUUAUGCUACAUCCUAAGGGAUGCAUAGGUAUGCGUAUUAUUAUUGAUGCCUUAAUUAUAUUUAUGACCGUGAAUAAUAUUAUGUCGAUUAGAAUUAUCGAAUCACUGUGGCAUGACUAUAUUUAUGUCAUCUGCUCAUCGGUUGCUGCACUGAUGUUAGUACUCACCCGAGCUAGGGCCAGUUUUUCAUGUGUAUGUACACAUCGCAUCGUACGCUCACUUUGGAUCCAUUGUAGGUGCCAGUCCUAUCUUAGAUUGCUAUAGGCAAUUAGAACUCGUAUGUGCUGCGUAUAGCGUCAGUCUUCACGUGAUUGUAGUACUAGAGUGUAUAUCAUUGUUACACCCAAUCUUGUUCAUGUCAGAAUAGCUCUGCAUGAACUUGUGUGCCAGCAUGUGUUGAUGAGCAUUCAAUGUGAUAUAUUUAUUUCCGCGAGAUAUUGUGAUUACUAGAAGUUAUUUACGAUUUUUUGACAUAUUGAAUCCUUAAGGUAUUGCAGGCUACGGUAAGUAUUUUUAUACCAUACGUAGUAUGUAUAUUUUGGAAACUAUACUUGUUUUACGGCGAAUGGUUACAAUGUUUUCAAAAAGGUUUUUAUAAAACUUUAUUUUUAUGCCCACUCACCCUUGUUUUUCGCCCCUCCAGGUUUUAACAGCUAAACUUUUCGUAUCGACAAGGAUUCUUGGCAAAUAUCAGUAUAGGUAGCUACCUUCGAUGUUAUAAUUCUUAUCCUACCUUAUUGUACUUUACUUAUGCUCUGACAUCACGUGUGAAAUGGGUUCAUUCCCGCUCACAAGCGCACUCUUAUAAUUAGACACUUUUAGGUUUAAAUUUAUUCACAUGUUCCACUACACUACACUUUAUGGCUCGUCACCUUCUAGGUGUUAGCCAGCGCAUCUCGAUUCGGAGUCCAAGUGGACAUUCCGGGUCAGGGUGUGUCACAAACUCUAUAACACUCUAGAGAAGGUUAUGAUUCAAAUUCUUUAAACAGUUCAUUUGAUAAGAUAUGACUGUCCUAGAAGAGACAAUGUAAAGCCCUUGAAGAGGCAAGGAUAUCUGAAGCAAUGAAGUGCUUAUAAACUAUGCAUGCACAUGCACGUGAGAAUUGUGGGAUCAUAAAUUGAUGAUAACCAAUAUUAAUGUUAGUUUUACUAUAGCUACUAGAUUCAUCAAUGAGCUACAUUAAUAUCGAAGUGCGUUCUUUUGUUCAUUGACAAAAAGAAAAAUAUUGGCCAAAAUGGAAAGAGUCAAUUCCAUUACAAUUUAGUAUGAUUGUGAAAAAAGUGGAUCUAUAAUACAAAUUGCCAAAUGAUGUUGAACCCAGAUUGUUACAUAUGUGCAUUGGUAAACAGUGAAAUACUCUCACAUGAUAUGACAUAAGGUUCCUAGUUGAAACUUGGAAUUGUAAUCCGCUCUUGUAACAUGAUUCCCAUUGUGAAAGUUGUCCAUUUCAAUGGAGGAUUAUAUAUCAUAUGAAGGCUUAUGAAAUCUCGAAGCAUAUCUCCAUAAGUAAUUUACUCAAGUAUAAAUAUAAGCAAAUUGCUUUGUAUAAAUUCCAAGAAAAAAUGUGUCAUGAAGUGUAGAAAAUCUCUGAAUGAUUCAAAUUGUUUAAUGCAAGUCCUGAAAGGGUAAAACAAAAAUUAUGUACUCAAUACCAAUGGAAUGUUACAAAUUGCCUUAGUGAGUAUUGUCAUUAUAAUAUUGUUGCAACAUACUAAAUCUCUUGCAAGAAUUAAUAUUAGAUUGAGACUCCUAUAGAGUCUAGAAAGGUUAUAAAAUGUUGAAGGACAAAUUCUCAAGCUGCAAAUCAAGCAAUAUGCGAACAUGAUUUUUAUCCAUGAAAAGACUUAUGGGUAUCAAAGAACCAUGUAGAUUGAAGAUCAUGAGUGGAACAUGUGGAGCCAAAAAUAUUCACAGGGCGACACGUGAAUUUUUGGACAAAAUGACAAAAAUACCCUUGUAGUACAACGAGGUUCCUACGCGCAAGCAGCGGGCAACCCUCUUUCAACCAAGACAGAAGUGCCCAAAAUAGGUAACAAUUCAAAGUCCAUCUCAUCAAAUCCUUUCUACAAAGUAAUUCCCAAACACAUUCCUUUUAAAUUAUGUUAAUUGGCUAAUUAAUGGGUUUAUUGCCUAAUUAACCCAUUAAUUGUCAAUUAAACCAUCCAUUAUAUCCAAAUAACUACAAAAUACAUCCAAUUCAACCCUAAAACACCACAUGGCCGGCUAUCCCCAUUUCAAAACCUAAUCCAUCACUUUUUUCUACCAUUUUCACCAUUUCUUCCUUUUUAUUACCCAAUAAAUUCAAAAACCACCAAAACAUUCAUCUUAUGUUUAAUAGCCAAAUAAAUUGGCUAAUUAAACCUAAAUUAAACCUAAAAACCCUAGCCACCUCCUAUCCCUAUAAAUAUACUCACAUUCUCACCAAAAAGCUAAUUCCAACACUUUGGCAAAAAUCCCAAAAUUCUCUAAACACUCUUUCUCUCUAAAUUCUAACUUUGGCAUCGGAGGUUCUUCGGCCAAAGCCCCCCCCCAUUCAUCGUGGGCGCGUGAGGCUCUUGGCCUUAACCUAAGGUGUUAAUUGUUUUGUAGGUGCAAAAUCGUCCAAGAUCGAGGAGGAAGAAAUUUGCAUCCACAAAUUGGUGCUUUCAUUGAGAGUUGAAAUCCAUACUCGUAGAAGACUCUCGCACAAAAAAGAUUUUUUCAUUGAGAGUUGAAAUCCAUACUCGUAGAAGACUCUCGCACAAAAAAGAUUUUUUCUUUAUUUUCUAGUCCAUUUGAAUAUUUUUCAUACGUUCUUAUUAUUAGAAUUUUUUACUUGCAAAGGUUCUUUGAUAAAACGUAUAAGCAAAAUAUAAUGGCUAGAAAUUUAGAAAAUUCCAUAAGUGAAAAUUCUAGUGUUCAAGAAAUGGGAGUGCGGAGAUCCGUGAGGCAAAAUGCGACAAUAAAGGGAGCGGCAUCACCACCACGAGUUUCCACCAUGGGAACCACCGCGAUGGUUACUUCGGUAGCCAUUCGUGGCGAGGUCCAUGAAGCUUUCACCACGGCCCGAGCCGUGCCAUCCAAGGCUCACGGUACCAAGACCACGACCCAAGCCGUGCCAUCCAAGUUUACGUGGACCCAAGCCCAAGCCUCGCAUUCACAUGCACCGUGCGUUGAGCAGCCUGCUUCCGUCGAGCAGCCCUCUCCCGUGGCCCAGCCUGCUUCUGCCAAGCAGCCUGCUCUCGUGACCCAGCCUGCUCCCGACGAGCAGCCCACUCCCAUGGUCCAGCCUGCUUCCGUCGAGCAGCCCACACUUGUGGCCCAGCCUGCUCCUGCCAAGCAGCCUGCUUUCGUGACCCAGCCUGCUCCCGACGAGCAGCUCACUCUCGUGGUCCAGCCUGCUUCCGUCGAGCAGCCUACUCUCACGGCCCAACCUGCUCCUGCCGAGCAGCCUGCUCUUGUGACCCAGCCUGCUCCCGACGAGCAGCCCACUCUCACGGCCCAUCCUGCUCCAGUGGCUUUCCAAGCAGCCCAAGUCGACCCAAGACUAUCUCAACCAUCCAGACCUACCAUCGAGCCGGGGGCAUUCUCACCACAUUUUUUCGCAGAUUUGACAUUUCCAAAUUCAAAUCUCGCGCCCGGAGUCUACCACAUUUCCACUGCCCAAGGAGGCGCAAUCCUUCCAAGCUCUUCCAAUCCAAAUGGCGAACAACACUUGUUUCGACAAGUCAUAGAGUUGACGAGCGCCCUUGCACAACAGACAACUUUGGUGAAUCAACUUUUGCAACGCAUCGGGAUCCAACGUGCCCCGGAUCAGGUAUCCCGAAGUAGAACAAGGGCAGACGAACCUUUCCAGUAGCGUCCCGGCAAGCAGCCAUUCGACCAGCCACGAGCCGAACGUUCAGGCAGUGUACAUUCCCAAUUGGGCCCCCGAGAUAGCGUAUACUCCCGUCUUAGCGCGCGGAGGAGUGUGUACUCUCGACUAGGCCCACGGAUGAGCAUACAUUCACAGUUGGGGUCACACUUCGAUAGUCAACAUGAGCAACCUUCCGGAGAAAGUGUUCAUUCGUGGCUAAGCCCACAAGGAGCAUCAUCCACCUCACAUCAGAGUAGGCAGCACGACGGACGGAGAGAAGCAGUCACUCAAUCCAGCUCAAGUUCAACCAGCAGCCUGCGAAGAACUCGCUCGCCUGCUAGGAACGCACCACAUGCACUGCAUCUGCGACAUAGAUGAGCCAAACACAUGGAAGAGCAGCCUAGACCAGCAAGUCAUGGCUGGGGGCAGCCGAGAGCUCCGCUACCCCAACAAAGGCAAAUUCAGGAAGAAGUAGAGAGACUCUUGACCAAGCGAUUGCAUGAUUUCCAACGCAACGAGGUCACCGACGAGGCACUACGACGGAACAUGACCAACAUAAGCAGAUCACCCUUCACGGAUGAGAUCGAGCAGGCUGAGCCUCAACGAGAGUUCAGCAUGCCACAUUUCACAUCUUUCAAAGGGGAUGAAGACCCGGAGAGACACUUAAAGCGCUACUGAAGCGCAAUGAUCCUUUAUCGAAACAACGAUGAGCUUAUGUGCAAGAUAUUCGCCACCACUCUACAAGGCGAGGCCCAAGAUUGGUUCUACACCCUGCCGCCACAAUCCAUCCGGAAUUUCUACGAACUUUCUUUGGUUUUCACCAAAGAAUAUUCAUCCUAUCGCUCGAUCAAAAAGAAAUCUGAUCAUUUGUUCAACGUCAAGAAGAACCCAAAGGAGUCACUUCGCGACUAUGUGAGGAGGUUCAAAGUAGAGAAGGAAAAAAUAGUCGGAUGCAACGACUCGAUAGCUAGAGCAGCCUUCCAAAAAGGACUUCCAGCAGACCACCCGCUAUUCGGAAAAUUUAUCAUGAAAGAAGAUCUAACUCUGGCAGACUCUUUUGCUUUGGCAGAGAAGUAUGCACUUUGGGAUGAGGCUUGCCAAUGCACAUUCAAGGACUUGAAGAAGUACCCGACAUCACAUCUCUAGAAGCAGCGGAGGACUUAUUCACAUGUUUGACGGUAUCUAAAGUAGCAAUAAGCUCUACCAUCAUGCGAGAAGAGAUGGGGGCCCGACUACCUGUAUUCCACAGUUACCUAUAUUCUACAGUUCAAAAGCUCUCCUCGAUGUUAUUAAAAAUUCAAAAGCUAACUUUGGCGAUAGUUGUUGCAACCCAGAAGCACAAGUUUUACUUUCAAACGCAUGCAAUCAUCCUAAUGACGUACUAUUCUGUCCAAUCCAGAUGCGCGACGAUAAAGGCGUAGACCCUGGCGGAUGUAAAGUUUUCUGACCAACGCAACACUGGAAUGACACACUCGAAAGCAAGUUUUGUCCUCGUCACCUUAAAAGAUUCUACAUAGGAGCAACAUGUACCGGCAGUUGAGUACCAUUUCUUGCUGCGCAUCACACGGCCCUAGCCGACCCUUGCUCAAUGAUUCAACUCUAGAGUGGCCCAAUACCGGCAGUUGAGCAUCUCAUGUUGCGUAUGACAUGGCCCCAUCUCCACAGCUCCCUACUACGUCUUCACGCUGAGCCUAGGUGACGCAAUAGAGCGGCCCAACGAUGCCUCAGAAGUAGCCGAGCACACUCUAGCUGCGCCUACUCCACCCGAUGGAGACUUAUGGCAUUUGCAUGUCGACAAUGCAGAAAAGCCUUCAUCACUGCCGGCAGAGAAGGCUCCAAAAAGAUGGAUCCCAUCUGGGAAGGUCCGUACAAGAUCAGCAGAGUAGGGGGCAAAAGUAAUUACACCCUCACCACCAUGAAGCGGCAAAAAGAUUGAAAAGAAAUGGAUGGCCUACAAUCUGAAGAAGUACCAUGUGUGACCUUCCGCUACAGCAAAACCCGAAGACUCAAUAAGCUCGACGGGCACCACCUCACAAGCUGAGGACUAUCCAGUUGUUAUGCAGUUCCUACCUUACAGCUAAAGUUCUCGCUCGUUUCACUCGUUUUUCAAUGAGGAAUUUAGAAGUAAUCACAACUUGGCUUGGCUGCAUGCUUACAACAACUAAUCACUCCUGCACUUCAAAAGAAGACUGCGCCCUUCUUAGGGACUCAUCGCAGGAAUUACACCCCCCGAGGGACCAACCAUGCUCUCCAGUGCGAGAGGGUAAACCAAUUCUCCGACACCCAUAUGGGUCAGCUCUCCAAGACGGGAGGAUAAACUUUACACUCCGAAUAUCCAGACGUGGAUGAGCCUGGCUGCCCUAGUAUAACUAGAUGCAUGAUGGCUUGCGCCGGGAUUCCUAGAAGUAGCCGCAAUGGUCUUUUUCAAGGCUUAGCUAACUGAAGGAUUUUGGGUCUCUUGGCCUAAUCCGUGGGGAACCGGGCCCUAGAGACGGAGAGGGCACAUUACGCAGUACAUCCGAUGGACGGUUGCCCUGGAAUCCUAAAGCUGCUACCGAGUGCACUAAGGUAGCAUACGGAUUCCGGAAGACUGCCUACGGCUUGCCCUUCGAGCAGUGAAGCCGCACUAGACUUAUACAACCGCACAUUCUUGUGAAAGGUUAAACAAGCUAGCUCGCAUAUACAAAGUUUUAUCCACUGCCGACAUGCUACGUAGUCGAUAAGCUUCACCUCUGCCAAGCGCGGAACAACCUACACCAAGUCCUAAAGUGUUGUGAUACUUGCUACGCAACCUACGGAAUUGAAGAAAGUCAAGGUUAACAGCCUAGUGGUUACGCAGACUUGUCUGCUUCUGUAAGUAAGGCAUCCAGCUGCCAACCCUAUGGCUAACAACUUUGCAAAGUUCUACACCAACACCUACGGCUGCAUAGGCUACGCGAGUUUGUCUGCUUAUAAAAACGUAGCAUGCCUGCCACUGGUCUAUCAAGUCUAAAGGUUAGGGCAUGAACAAAAGAAGUGAAGAUGAAGAAAAAUGAAGGAAAACAUGUUUAUAAACAACUAGCAAAGGCCGAAGGAGUUCAAGCAAAACAAAAGCUACAAGGAAAAACAAAGAAAAUACUAAAGGCUACCUAAAAUACUACACUACAGCAGCUUGGACAUCCCACGACUACUCGGUCGCCACACCUUCAACAGCCGUAACGCUCUUAGCAGCGGCAUCAUCCGACUCUUCACCCCUGGCUGCCCCAGUCUGGGCACUAACUUCUCCAACUACUUCACCAAUGGAAGCCUUAAAAGUAAAAGCAAGCAAGUCUUUCGGAGAAAUAGAGAACGUCUUAAAACCUCAAGCCCAUCAUUCUCACCCUUCAGCUGCUCAUUCUUCUUAAGCAGACUAACACAGACGCGCUGUAGCUCAUCCACUCCCUUCUUAGCAUAAGCAGCGAAACGAAGCUCAGAAAUUGCAAGCUUAAGAUCUUGAAUCUGAGGCGAAUCAAUCUCAGCAGCAAAGAGAGCAGGCUUUGGCGCCACUUUAGCAGCAGAGUCCACCUUACCACUCUUCAUAAUAGCAAGUCUCUACAAAGGUGAACCGGACUUGGCUCUCAAAGAACGUCCUGGUACAGACUUCGGCACUGGGGGCAUGAUAAAACCUUUACGCUGGGCAAUCUUAUCCACAAUUGUACUAGCCAUUCUCAACAUGGAAGACGCCACAUGCUCAGAUCUAGCAGCCUUAUUUUUCUUCCCAUUAGAAGAAGUCAUGUCAAUCACAUACCUCUCGGUAGCAAGCGGACCCUCAUGAGCAGCAGAAGAAGUCUUCAGUUUUUUCUUAACUAGACAUCUCAUGAGCAGGCGGGGAAGAUCUCUUCUUUCCAUCUUCAUUCAUAGUAAGCUCCACGACAGCGAUCAGACGAGCCAAUGUAUUCGCCUUGAUCCUCUUUACCUCAUCUUUCUGGAGCAGCCCACAUUUCUUUCAGCAAAGAAGACUAAGCAGCCAACGACAUUCAUGGUACUCAGCAGGGGAGCUCAACCCAGCAUUCCAGCAGGCAGAAGGCCUGCAUGCCCAACAUUCCAGCAGCCCAUGAGACCCGCAAUCUCCUUAUUUCUCUCAAUCGCCAGCCUGGCCCGAGUCAGGUCCAAGAGCCCAAAGGACAUGAGCCAUGCGGCUCGCCUAACACUGUGCCCUAGCGCCGCAAUCCUCGACCCCAGCUGCACAAGCUGUCCUUGGCUCAAGCCAAGCCAAGCUGCCCAAGCAGUGGUCCCUGCCACGACGACUCCUCAGCUCAUGCCGAGCUAGCUCCUGGCCCCUGCCAGCCGACGUGCCGCACCACCCCGACGGCUACCCCGCAAUAGCACUAUCCAAGAAUAAGGCAAGAAAAAUUAAAUUUUUCUUACAUUGGUGCGGUACGAAGAAGACGAAGAAAGCAACGAAAGACGGUCCUUUGCACAGGCAAGAUGUAGAAGAUUGCUAGAGGAGGGGGAACAAAUAUCCUCUAAGCUAUCUCUCUCUUGUAGGGUAGAAUAAAUCGCUAUCCAAAGUUGAUUUAAUAACCCACUUAAGGUGGACUUAAAUAGGCUUUGAGAGAAAUUUAUUUCCUUUUCCUAGAAGGAUCUAAUUUUCUAUUAAAGAGAGAAUCUACAUCAAAAUAGGAAGCAGUCCUAAGUUUCCUAAAGCAAGAAGAUCUCUACACCUGCUGCCCUUUUCUGCGAGCAGCCCAACAGGUAUGGGGGCAUUUGUGGAGCCAAAAAUAUUCACAGGGCGACACGUGGAUUUUUGGACAAAAAUGACAAAAAUACCCUUGCAGUACAACGAGGUUCCUACGCGCAAGCAGCGGGCAACCCUCUUUCAACCAAGACAGAAGUGCCCAAAAUAGGUAACAAUUCAAAGUCCAUCUCAUCAAAUCCUUUCUACAAGGUAAUUCCCAAACACAUUCCUUUUAAAUUAUGUUAAUUGGCUAAUUAAUGGGUUUAUUGCCUAAUUAACCCAUUAAUUGUCAAUUAAAACCAUCCAUUAUAUCCAAAUAACUACAAAAUACAUCCAAUUCAACCCUAAAACACCACAUGGCCGGCUAUCCCCAUUUCAAAAACCUAAUCCAUCACUUUUUUCUACCCUUUUCACCAUUUCUUCCUUUUUAUUACCCAAUAAAUUCAAAAACCACCAAAACAUUCAUCUUAUGUUUAAUAGCCAAAUAAAUUGGCUAAUUAAACCUAAAUUAAACCUAAAAACCCUAGCCACCUCCUAUCCCUAUAAAUAU